GCGCACGUGGCCUCCACCUUGGUCAGAUUCUCUGACCUUAUCCAGAUCUCUGCAGCACUGUUUAAAAAAAAAAGGCCAUUCCUUCAUCCAUUCCUGGGCAUCUGGAAUUCUAGCUUCUCGACCUUCGCUAUCAUCCAAUGAAUUAUCUGUGCAAACCUAUUGCCAUGCCAUCCAUUCGUCCACAAAGAGUCGUCUUCGGGUUCCUGCUUCUUGCUUGCCUUCAGGGGAAUGCGUCAUGCAGCACAACCCACUGACGUGACCUGCCUGUCUGCCUUCACUCCUUUAAAGGACUCCCUUCUGUGUUGGUGCUCAUCACCACACUGUGACCAAUGGCGGAUGAAAACUGGGCGACAGAUUGUAUCUCCCCUUGCCCCUGCGGGACAUGCCAGCAUUCUUUGGAUCCUCGCCGGGGUCUGUGGAAUGAUGUGAAACAUCCUCACAUCGGUGUACGUCAGUGUUGUUGUACGGUGCUGUUCCAAGGUCAAUCUCAAAGCUUCCAGAUGUCACACCUCUAAAUGUUACGCUGUUCGGCUGCCAUACAGAAAUUCUAGUGUUUCUAACGA